rnacentral:rRNA from 1 species
UACGUAGGGUGCAAGCGUUAAUCGGGAUUACUGGGCGUAAAGCGUGCGCAGGCGGUUAUGUAAGACAGGUGUGAAAUCCCCGGGCUUAACCUGGGAACUGCAUUUGUGACUGCAUAGCUAGAGUACGGUAGAGGAGUGUGGAAUUCCCGGUGUAGCGGUGAAAUGCGCAGAUAUCGGGAGGAACACCCGUAGCGAAGGCGGCACUCUGGGCCGGAACUGACGCUGAGGAGCGAAAGCGUGGGGAGCAAACAGG